AAUCAACGCUGGCGGCGUGCCUCAGACAUGCAAGUCGAACGCGAAAGUCCCCUUCGGGGGACAAGUAGAGUGGCGCACGGGUGAGUAACACGUAGGUAAUCUACCUUCGGAUGGGGAAUAACAAUCGGAAACGGUUGCUAAUACCGCAUAAUGCAGCGGCACCUAAUGGUGACAGUUGUUAAAAGCGGGGGAUCGAAAGACCUCGCGUCUGAAGAGGAGCCUGCGGCGGAUUAGCAGUUGGUAAGGUAAUGGCUUACCAAGGCGACGAUCCGUAACCGGCCUGAGAGGGGCGGUCGGUCACACUGACACUGACAUACGGGUCAGACUCCUACGGGAGCAGCAGUCGGGAAUUUGGGCAAUGGGCGAAAGCCUGACCCAGCAACGCCGCGUGAAGGAUAGAAAUCCC
rnacentral:rRNA from 1 species